UACAGAGGUCUCAAGCGUUGUUCGGAUUCAUUGGGCGUAAAGGGUGCGUAGGUGGCGCCGUAAGUCAGGUGUGAAAUUUCGGAGCUUAACUCCGAAACUGCAUUUGAUACUGCGGUGCUUGAGGACUGGAGAGGAGACUGGAAUUUACGGUGUAGCAGUGAAAUGCGUAGAGAUCGUAAGGAAGACCAGUGGCGAAGGCGGGUCUCUGGGACGAGU
rnacentral:rRNA from 1 species